AGCGAACGCUGGCGGCAGGCCUAACACAUGCAAGUCGAACGGAUCCUUCGGGAUUAGUGGCGGACGGGUGAGUAACACGUGGGAACGUGCCCUUCGGUUCGGAACAACUCAGGGAAACUUGAGCUAAUACCGGAUGUGCCCUUCGGGGGAAAGAUUUAUCGCCGUUGGAGCGGCCCGCGUCUGAUUAGCUAGUUGGUGAGGUAAAGGCUCACCAAGGCGACGAUCAGUAGCUGGUCUGAGAGGAUGAUCAGCCACAUUGGGACUGAGACACGGCCCAAACUCCUACGGGAGGCAGCAGUGGGGAAUCUUGCGCAAUGGGCGAAAGCCUGACGCAGCCAUGCCGCGUGAAUGAUGAAGGUCUUAGGAUUGUAAAAUUCUUUCACCGGGGACGAUAAUGACGGUACCCGGAGAAGAAGCCCCGGCUAACUUCGUGCCAGCCGCCGCCGUAAUAC
rnacentral:rRNA from 1 species